GGGGGGCCUUACGGGGUCCAUCAUGGUAGCGUGUUAGGUGAAUAGACUAAUGUUCAGUUCGUGGUUGAAAAGGUCAUCAUGAAGCGGCCGCCUCCCUCUGAUGUAUGGACACUGAGAGUUAUUCCAAAUGACUCAGGGCGGUUCACAAAGUGUUUACUUUUCUGCUCCAUCCCAUUGCCUGUGUAACUUUGAUAGCAGGUACUCUUGUGGGCUUUGGGGACAUAACAGAUGUGGUGAUUGAUGCUGCGGUGAAGAAAGUCACGCAGAGAAGGUGAGAACAAUGGGUACUGGCUUGUCCACAACAAGAACAUAAAUCAACCUCUAAGCAGGAGAUGUGUGCGCGGUGACAACACAUGUCCCAAAGCAUGUGAACAUGGGACAUUCAUAACACUGACGCUGUAGUAAUAUGGGAAAAUGGAUACAGUAUCUAACGUGCUUUGCUUUGUAUGACGUACAUUAUUUCAUAUGGCACCCAGUGUGUAAAACGUUACUUGGAGAAAGAAAAGAGUGAAAUCCAAAAAACCACGAUGCACAUCAGUUAACACAAAUGUGAUUUUUUUUUUUUUAAGAGUGGUUGUUUUCAACUUAUACUUUUAUGACAAGUAAAAAUUUUAACAAAUGACAAUAUACAGAUAAUGAUUUUACCAUGGCAACAGAUUGUCACUGGAAUACUAUCUUUUUAUUUAAUGUUUUUUUUUAUUUUAUGGUACAAUCCAAACAAAUGGGCUUCAACGUGGGGGGGGGGGGGGGAAUGGAAGUUCUUGGACUAGGCAAGUCAGUCACUGUACCUUAACCCAAUAUAGCAUGCAUUUUACCUCCUGAAGAGGACAUUGUAGGGAGAGACCCCCAACUGAAAGACGCUGCUGUAAAUGCUUGGAAAAGCAUUUCAAAUGAAGAAUGGAAAUGUCUGGUGAAGUCAAUGGGUCAAAGGGCUUGAUAGAGUUAUUGCAGGUAAGGGGCAGGGAACCAAAUAUUAACUGUUAUACCUUUUAAGUACAUUCAAGUAAAGAGGGGUGUGUGACGACAGUCAUUUCACACACUCAAUAACAACAAGCCAUAGUUCACUACCAAAUUUAAGCAAAUUUGCCAUGCUUAAAGAGGAUGCAUAUUGAAGUGGGGUUAGGGCCCUGUAUAAGCUCAGCUGAGAACAACAAAAUACUAGCAGACGACUUAAACACCUUAUGCUGCAGAUUUGAAAAGGACACUCACACCCCACCCAGCUGCACCACCGACCACCAUCAGACCUAUGACGUUUGCGUUGACCAUCCAUGAACAAGAUGUGAGACACCUCUUCAAACAACAAAAGAUUAACAAAGAGGCAGGCCCAGACCUUGUGUCAUCAUCUUGCCUCAAAAUCUGCGUGUACCAUCUGACUUCAGUCUUCACACACACCUACAAUAAAGCUCCAGAACUGUGCGAAGUACCAUCCUUUUCCAAUGCUCCAUCAUCGGCCCAAUACCGCAAUGUCCGGGCUAAAUGAGAACAGGCCUGUCAUCCUGACAUCUGUGGUCAUGAAGUCCUUUGAACGCCUCGUGAGGGAUCACCUCAAGAGCAUCAUAGGUCCCCUGCUGGAUGCCCUGGAAGUUGCCUAGUGGGCAAACAGGUCUGCGGAUGAUGCAGUCAACAUGGGACUGCUAUUCAUCCUAGAACACCUCAACGGUGCGGGGACCUACACAAGGGUACUGUUCGACAUUGUCCCAGAUUAUUACACUACUUGCCAGUUUUAAACUUCAUCAAUGUCUUGAAGUCCGCCCACCCUUUACACAACUGUCUUUGCACCAGAUUUUUCUUCAUUUAGUCAUUUGUAGCUGCUGUAAUUGCUGGAGGACGCUGCAUUUUUUCCACAAUCGUGAAGAAAAAACCCCAAAUUGUAUGUAGUAACCUUUUAUUGCACAGUAACUGUUUGUUGUCUCUUUAUUUCUCAAAAUUAUUCCCUGUCAACAGACAGUAUGUUGUCGUUCUACAGCAUACUAUAGCAGCUUCAACUACCGGAGACAAAUUCCUUGUGGGUUUAUGAUAUACCUGGCAAAUUAUAAUGUUUCUGAUUAAUAAUGUCUGUUCCAGUACUUUUGCUCACUUGAAAAGUGGGUGGGUACAAACAAAAGGGGCUUAGCCCUAAUUUGUUUAAGACAUCUCAAUCUAAAUACC